GGCGGGGCCGGAGAGGGGACUGGCUGCCGGGAGUCCCGAAGGGCCGCACGGGCCAGCUCACCACGGAGCAGAGUGGACACGUCAGGCACACACGUCGGGGCCGCACGGCCGCCUGACUCCCUGAAUCACCUGCCGGGUCUGGGACAUCAGACAGGGACAGUGCACGUGACCAUUCACACGACAAAUAUCCUCCAACGGCUUCCUGAGGGCCAGGUACCGAUGUAGCUUCUGGAAAAUCCUCAUGUCUUGGAGUGCUCGUUCCAGUGAGGCAGACACACAAUAAACACCAUGGCCACGGAAUGGGCUGUGCAGCAUGUGACCUUUGACCUUCUGGCGUUUGAGCCUGCCAGCGUCCGACAAAUAGACCCAUCUCCACACGGUUAUCAGGGCGGCUCAAGUCCGAGUCAGGCUGAGUCACCCCUCCAGGCCCUCCGCUAAGGCCUUCUGCGGGACCAGUCCGGGCUUCAUUGGGGAGCUGCUGAAGGGUAAGUACUGGAACCCUCCGUGUGGGAGGAGAUGCCGGGGGAAGCGUGCGGUCCCCACGCCUGCCGGUGGCUCAGUCCUUUUCCCUCCGGGCCCUGGAGGACACUGGCACCAGACCUGCCUGAGGGCCCCGCCCACCUGCCCCCAGCCCGGGAGACCCUCCCUGUCCCCCCCAGCCCCUGCCAGCCACCAGCCUGCUUUCUGUCUCUGGACUUGCCCAGUCCCGACAUUUCACGCAAAAGGAAUCCUACAAGGCGCGGCCUUUGGGAUCUGGCUUCUCACUUCCCAGGAUGCUUUCCAGGUUCAUCCACACGGCGUCACGUGUCAGUGCCUCCCUUUAAAAUGAACUUCAUGGGGUGUAACUCAUAUCCAUGAUUUAAAAAAAAUUAAUGUUUAUUUUUGAGAGAAGAGAGAGUGAGCAGGGGAGGGGCCAAGAGAGAGGGAGAGAGAGAACCCUAACCAGGCUCCACACUGUCAGCCCAGAGCCCCACGUGGGCUCCCACCGACUGUGAGAUCAUGACCUGAGCCACAGUGGGAUGCUUAGCCGACUGAGCUACCCAGGGGCGCCUCCUUCGCGGUGAAAUGCUAACAUCGCAGUGCGUUUUAAGCCAUGUGUCCAGCACGACCUCAGUCACCACAGGACACGUCCGUCCCCCCGAGACCCAGGGAUCCCUCUGCCCCAGAGCGGGGAUCCGGUCUCGUGAUCGCGGUGACCGAGCCCCACCAGUGGACGCUGACGUCCGUCGGGGUCUCUGUGUCCAGCUGCCUGUACUGUGCAUGGAGAGUUUUAAGGCUCAUCCACACGGGUGCUGGACUCGGUCUAGACCCUCGGGUUGUUGAGAAUUUUCCCGCAAUUUGUUUUUCCUUCUCUUGCUGAUGGACGUUCGUUUCCAGCUCUGGGCUGUUAGCUGCAGUGCAACCUUUCCCAUGCAGGACUUGGGGAUAGGAUUUCUGGGUUGUUGGGGAAGUUCAUGUUUUGAGUUAUAAAGCUACCAGAAUUCUCUGCCUGGAGGGACACAGGUGUAGCCCUUCCCUCUGGGCCCGGGGCUGGAGGGGGCUGGCCGGCCAGGCCAGGGCGGGAGAGCCGGGAGCCUCCUUGGAAGCCCUCAGGCUGUCACCUUCCCACCUGUAGGGGUCCAAGAGGUGUAGUCCCACCCCACCCCCUCCCAGCGUUUCAGAACCAACACCACCUCCAGAGCAAAGGCAGGGGUGGGGUUGGGGGACAUCCUUCCUUUGCUUAAACAAAGUCUGAAGGCCUGAGGUCUAACCUGUGCCCUGAGAAGCUUUGCCUACGUUCCCCCGGAGGAAGUCAAAGUCCUAUCCAGAAUGAGCUCUGACUUCAGUAGCGCUUCCCGAGGGCAGGAGUCGGCUUGGGACCCGGGGGCAGGGAGGUGCCCUGUCGUUCUGGAGGACUCUUCUAGAAGAAGCUGGCUCCUCUCCAUUGCUCUACCUAAUUCUCUUUGGGACCUCUCCCACUUUCCAAGGAGGUAACUGAAACGCCCAGCGCCUGGAGGGGACCCACCUCAUCCCUCUCUGCUACCCAGAGCCAGGUGGUGAGGGGGUGGUCAGGGUGGGGGAGGACGCUGCCCCCAGGCCCACCUCCCCCGCCGGCAAAGUGUCAGCCAGGUCUGAGGAGCAGGGAGCCUUGUGGGCAGGGCGGCAGGGACAGGAGUUGAGUGGAACUCCUGGUAACGACAGUAGUGUGCCCUCUCACUGUCCUACCGCAGUGUCAUUUACUAGGCCCAUCCGAGGACCGCUUAGCAAUUCUAGGCGAGGGUCGGCACACAGCUUCCCCAGAGGGCCGGGUGGCAAAUACGGCUUUGCCACUGCACAGACCAUUGCAGUAGCCCUGCAGGUGCGGCCCGAAGCAGCCGCGCACAGUAAACAGGCUGGGCUGUGUCUCAAUAAGGUGAGGACCUCAAACCACCCGAACGGGUCAGAGGACCUGGACGGACGUCUUUCCAGAGAAGACAAACGAACGCCCAGCACUCGCACAAGAAGAUGCUCAUCUUUAGGGAAAUGCAAAUCAACACCGGGGCGAGGAACCACUUCACGCCCACUUGGGUGUCUAUUUUUAAGAACUCAAAAAAUAACAAGUAUUGGUGAGGAUGGGGGGCGAGGGGAGCCCCCGUGCACGCGCAGCGGGAGUGCAAACUGGGGCCACUGCUGAGGGAAACAGUACGGAGGCUCCUCAAAGGAGUGAAAAUAGAAAUACCCUGUGAUCCAACCCUGCCAUUUGUGUGGACGUGCCCCACAGAGUUGAAAGCAGGAUGUUGAGAUAUUUGUAAAUCCCUUGUUCACAGCAGCCUUAUUCACAACAGCUAAAAUGUGGAAGAAACCCCAGGGUCCAUCGACGUAUGAAUGGACAACGGACGGUCAGAAUGUGGUCUAUCCCCAUAACGCAAUACUAUUCAGCCUUGGAAAAAGAAAGAAAUUCUGGGACACCUGGCUAGUUCAAUCCCCACAUGAGGCACAGAAAUUAUUUAAAAGAAAAAAAAAAAAGGAGGGGCACCUGGGUGGCUCAGUCGGUUAAGCAUCUGACUUUGGCUCAGGUCAUGAUCUCACAGUUUGUGGGUUCCAGCCCCGUGUCGGGUCCUGUGCUGACAGCUCGGAGCCCGGAGCCUGAUUCGGAUUCUGCGUCUCCCUCUCUCUCUGAUCUUCCCCCGCUCGCACUCUGUCUCUCUCAAAAAUACAUAAAACCUUUCAAAAAAACCCUUUUUUUAAAAAAAGGAAAUUCUGACACCCGCGACUACACGGACGAACCUGGAAGACACGACGCGAAGGGAAAGGAGCCGUCAUAAAAGACAAACACCGCGUGACUCCCCUUCCGUGAGGGCCUAGAGCAGACAGAGGGUAGAAGUGGGCGCCGGGGGCUGGGGUCAGUGUGGGGUGGGACAGAGCGUCAGGCCGGGAGGACGAGAAAGUGCUGGGGGCUGACGGUGGCCGCAGGGCGGUGCGGGUGUAGUUGGUGCCCCUGAACUAGACACUUGAAAAUGGCUAAGAUGGUAAAUUUGCAAGUUAUGUUUGUUUCCUGUUUUUAAUGUUUACUUACUUAUUUUUGAGAGAGAGAGAGAGAGAGAGAGAG